GGCGAGCGGCGGACGGGUGAGUAAAGUCUGGGGAUCUGGCUUAUGGAGGGGGGUAACCAUUGGAAACGGUGGCUAAUACCGCAUGAUGUCGCAAGACCAAAGUGGGGGACUUUAGGGCCUCACGCCAUAAGAUGAACCCAGAUGAGAUUAGCUAGUAGGUGCGGUAAUGGCGUACCUAGGCGACGAUCUCUAGCUGGUCUGAGAGGAUGACCAGCCACACUGGAACUGAGAAACGGUCCAGACUCCUACGGGAGGCAGCAGUGGGGAAUAUUGCACAAUGGGCGGAAGCCUGAUGCAGCCAUGCCGCGUGUGUGAAGAAGGCCUUAGGGUUGUAAAGCACUUUCAGCGGGGAGGAAGGCGGUAAGAGUAAUAUGCUUAUCGAUUGACGUUACCCGCAAAAGAAGCACCGGCUAACUCCGUGCCAGCAGCCGCGGUAAUACGGAGGGUGCGAGCGUUAAUCGGAAUAACUGGGCGUAAAGGGCAUGUAGGCGGUAAGUUAAGUCAGAUGUGAAAUCCCCGAGCUUAACUUGGGAACGGCAUUUGAGACUGGCGGGCUAGAGUUUUGUAGAGGGGGGUAGAAUUCCAGGUGUAGCGGUGAAAUGCGUAAAGAUCUGGAGGAAUACCGGUGGCGAAGGCGGCCCCUGGACAAGGACUGACGCUGAGGUGCGAAAGCGUGGGUAGCAAACAGGAUUAGAUACCCUGGUAGUCCACGCUGUAAACGAUGUCGAUUUGGAGGUUGUGGCCUAGUGUUAUGGCGUCCGAAGCUAACGCGAUAAAUCGACCGCCUGGGGAGUACGGCCGCAAGGUUAAAACUCAAAUGAAUUGACGGGGGCCCGCACAAGCGGUGGAGCAUGUGGUUUAAUUCGAUGCAACGCGAAGAACCUUACCUACUCUUGACAUCCACGGAAUUGAGCAGAGAUGCUUAAGUGCCUUCGGGAGCCGUGAGACAGGUGCUGCAUGGCUGUCGUCAGCUCGUGUUGUGAAAUGUUGGGUUAAGUCCCGCAACGAGCGCAACCCUUGUCCUUUGUUGCCAGCGCGUGAUGGCGGGAACUCAAAGGAGACUGCCGGUGAUAAACCGGAGGAAGGUGGGGAUGACGUCAAGUCAUCAUGGCCCUUACGAGUAGGGCUACACACGUGCUACAAUGGCGCAUACAAAGAGCGGCGAGCGUGCGAACGUAAGCGAACCUCAUAAAGUGCGUCGUAGUCCGGAUUGGAGUCUGCAACUCGACUCCAUGAAGUCGGAAUCGCUAGUAAUCGUGGAUCAGAAUGCUACGGUGAAUACGUUCCCGGGCCUUGUACACACCGCCCGUCACACCAUGGGAGUGGGCGGCAAAAGAAGUAGGUAGCUUAACCUUCGGGGGGGCGCUUACCACUUUGUGGUU
rnacentral:rRNA from 1 species